rnacentral:lncRNA from 1 species
CCGAAUCUAAACCAAAUUUGAAUCAGUAUCAAUUUUCAAUUUUCUAACCGAAUAGUUUAUGAUACAUUGAACACGAGCCGAAUUGAUCCAUUUAUAUUGAGUAUCAUUUUUAUUCAAAUAUUAAAAUAAUCAUCAUUUAGUCUAAAUAAACAUAAUAUUAUAUAUAAUAAUUAUGAAUUUAAAUUAUAAUAUAUGUAUGUGUGACGCCCCCAGAUCCACAUCCCGCAGAUCUGGUCCGCCACUAAACAUCUGGCUCAAAACAACACUUGAAUUACAUAUUAAUAUUACAUAAUCCAACUCUUGCCCCACAAGUCCAGGGUCGCUUGUCUUACAACAUUACUACCGAGUCCAACUUUAUUACAUAAAUGGAAGUCUGAUUUUAGGCCAUUAUAAUAACUAUAGCUCGUACUAACAAGCAGCGUAGUCUAGCAGUCUCAGCUUGGGUGAUGCGCCUUUUCCCUGCCUUUGCCAAAAACCCAUUUCCGGGCGGUUCUCUUGAGUUGUGCCAUAUUCACUAUUUACUGCUCAAAAAGAAUAAAAUAGAUGCAAGAAUGAGCAAUCAAAUUGCUCAGCAAGUCCACAUAGAACAAAAUAACAAUCAACAGAAUAUGCACGUAAGGCAUAAAAAACAAUUCAAGUCAAAGCAACAAAGCAGCUACCGUCAAAUGACAACACAAGUUCAAGUAAAGAAAACGCUGGUCUUCCACCUUUCGGCAACACUACAUGGCUCGAUCAGCACCAUUUCGUGAAUACCGUUCUCCUGUGUGACCUUUGCAGUCGGAUCGUAACCGCACAAGACACACCUACCACUCUCAUUUGCUAGCAUAAGAGUUAACAUUUGUAACCCUAAACUAUCUGCCUUACCAGAUAGUAAAUUCAACUCUACCACGAAUUUAAGAAAUUCGUGUUGACCAGCUUGAACAGAUUCCUCCGAAUACAAGGAAAUUCUCACAAACAAACACUACUCAUCUUUACCAAAGACGUGCGAACAAUGCACCCUUUCAACAAAGAUUACCCGAAGGUAGAAGUGAAGAAUAAUUAAAAGAAUUAAAUUCCAAAGAAUAAGAUGAUCUCCAAAAAGGGAGUAAGUUAAUUGUGGUGAGAUCAUCGCUGCCAUGUAUUCACUUCGAGUUUCAAAGAUUCAGAAUAUUAUCAUUAUAGGAUUAGCUCAUUCUCGAACAAUGGGUGGGCUCGAAUUAUAGAAAGUGAUCAUAUGUGAACAAUAUCUUUAAAGGCUUCAAAAUGAAACGGAGACAUUUUCUCAAUUCACAAUGGUACGAAAUGAAAUAUUUCCACAAUCAACACUUAUCACAAAAUUAUGAAAUAGACACGAAAAAUUUCACGUCGAGACAAGGAUAGUGAACUUGCCUGACAUCCUUAGCUUGAUAAUAUUCCAAUUUAUCACGUAUAAUCAGGCUUCGCCUUUCCAGGCAAUAAAUAUUCUAUAUCACGCAAAAUGAUAAUUUCAGUAUACUCGUAAAAAUAAUGAUCUUGACUCAUUUAUUAACUUAAAUCUAUAUAGCUCUCUAUUUAAAUAAUAUCUUGAGUUUUUAAUUGAUUAUCUAAUUCUUUUUUUAUUGCACGGACUUCACUAAAAUGUUAUACUAUCACUUUGCCCACUUUUACACAGGUAUAACAUUUGGACUAAUGUAGUUACAUUAAAAUUAUAUAAUACCCAAUUCCCUUUCUUUUUAUUCUCUUUCUUUUAUUCUUAACUAAUAACCCCAAUUAAACCUUUAAUAUGCAAAAUUCUAUUAUUUAUUACCACGGUGUCCACUGACAUUUGAAUGAUUCUUCCCCUAAUAUUAGAUUCCUUCACUUUCUAAACAAUUCAACUCAUUCCUUAUUAAAUUCUUAAACACCAAUUAGGAUAUUUAUUAAAUCUCAAAUCUCAUUCUCUCUUUAAUUAUACCUCUAAACAUUCUUUUUAGCUCCGUUUUAAUCGCUCAAUAUAAUAAAUCUAAAAUAACUUCCCAUCUAUCCUAUUUAUCUCUCCUUUUAAUAUAAAACCAAAUUCUUUUAUAAAUUCAAAUUAUUAUAUAAUUUAUUUCCUUUUAUUAACCCAAUUAUCAUAAGUCAAUCAUUUCUCUCCCAUUAUUUUCUUUUUAAUUCACUCAAAUCCAUCCUUUUAUAUUUAAUUCCCACAUUUUAUCAAUUUUAUUUGUUCUUAUUAGCACUCUCACUUUUCAAUUUACCAAAAUAUCCCCAUCUUCCCCAAACUCACCUUUCUCCCUCAUCCCUCAUCCUACUCUUUUCUCUCUCUCUCUCUCUCUCUCCCCCCUCUUCCGCGUCUCCCUCGGUUCCUACCACUCAACGCCACCAUCGGUGACCUCUCUCCGUCGCCACACACACACGGCUCACCCAUCUCACCCACACAACACACACAAAACCCCCACCUCAAUCUCUCUUUUCCCCUGCUGUCUCUCUUCUUCACCAUUAGUCGGUUGCGGUUUUUUUUCGGUUUUUCCACUAUUAUUUACUACUCUUGUGCAUAAUGAUUUUUUUAAAAAAAAUAUAAAAUUUUCAUGAACAUGUACAAUAUGUUCGGUUACUAUUUACUAUUGUUUCUAUAUGAGGAUAUAGGAAACAUUACAUACUUUCAUCUAAAAAAUCUUAAUACACAAUAAAAACUAAAACAUACAUAUUUUGAUAAGAAAUUAGAUGAUGUCAAGUCAAUAAAAUUACCCAAAAUCAACUAAUUAUGAAAUUCAAAUAAAAAGUUUUCAAAAAGUACAUAAAUAAAAAAGUAGAAUAGGUUUCAUAAUAAAAUUUGAUCAGCAGAUUAACAGCAGAAAUAUUUCUGCUUUGUGGCAAAUCACAAUAGCCCUAAGUUUCAAUCAAGCGCUCCACCAAAUAUUUGAGUGCCUGGUUAUUUAAGUGACUUAGCAAGUAUGCAAGUACGGGUCUGUGGAAGAAGAACCUCUAUAUAAAAUUAGAUGUGAAGUUUAAAAAUGACUAAGGUGCUUUAUUACUAUUAUUGAUAUAUAUAUAAAUAUAUUUAUAUAUAUAUAUUUCGGUUCGGUUAAUUUCGGUGCGGUUUUAACAUAAAACCGAAAAUAAAACCGCACCACUAAUUUCGGUUUUUUAUCUCGGUUAUUUUCGGUUUUAUUUGCGGUUUGGUUUUUUUUGGUGUGGUUUUUCGGUUUUUUUAGGUUUUUUUGCGGUUUCGGUUUUUUCUGCUCGCCCCUACCUCAUCCUACUCUUUUCUCUCUCUCUCUCUCCCCCCUCUUCCGCGUCUCCCUCGGUUCCCACCACUCAACGCCACCAUCGGCGACCUUUCUCCGUCGCCACACACACACGGCUCACCCAUCUCACCCACACAACACACACAAAACCCCCACCUCAAUCUCUCUUUUCCCCUGCUGUCUCUCUUCUUCUCGACCUUCCCCUCCGUUUUAACAUCGCCGUUACCCUCCGUCGGCAUCGUCGACGUGAGCUCCGGCCAGCCACCCCACACACUUACUGCUCCGAUGCCAACCACAAUUCCAAUAAUCAACAACCAUUAAUUCAAUACACUUCAUAUAUAACCCCCAAAUUGAUUAAGAGCUCUAAUUUAAUAUAUGUAUAUUAGAAUAUAUGUGUCAAUGGAUAGUAAUCGCAGGUGGGGUUAAGAAAAUGUGCUAUUAAAAUGAAUUUAUAUCUCAUAAAUGGUUAAUUUAAGCUAAAAGGGAGAUUAAUACCUUAAAAUAGAUUUUGCAGAUUUGAUUCUCUUCUGGUCAAAUCGCCAAUACCUCCGUAUUGCUUUUGUUUUGAUAAAAGAAGUACUGACUAAUUUCCUUGCUAUUUAUACAACAUUACUAAUUACCAUUAGUAUUUAAUCAUACUUUAGCACUUGCUAAUACUCCACUAAUCAUUUUUAAUUUAUUUGUUUACUUGGAGGCUACACAAUUUUUCUUGGGCGUUACUCAGUAGCCUUAGGCUCCAAGUUUCGAAACUUGGGGCUCAAGUCCCGCUACGUUAAAAAUAUUCCACGGCUUGGCUCGUUUAUUCUCGUUUCGGUUUUUGUCCGACAAAUAUUUAAAUAUUUUACAAAAAGAAUAAAUAAAUCAA